rnacentral:rRNA from 1 species
AUUGAACGCUGGCGGCAGGCCUAACACAUGCAAGUCGAGCGGAUGAAGGGAGCUUGCUCCUGGAUUCAGCGGCGGACGGGUGAGUAAUGCCUAGGAAUCUGCCUGGUCGUGGGGGAUAACGUCCGGAAACGGGCGCUAAUACCGCAUACGUCCUGAGGGAGAAAGUGGGGGAUCUUCGGACCUCACGCUAUCAGAUGAGCCUAGGUCGGAUUAGCUAGUUGGUGGGGUAAAGGCCUACCAAGGCGACGAUCCGUAACUGGUCUGAGAGGAUGAUCAGUCACACUGGAACUGAGACACGGUCCAGACUCCUACGGGAGGCAGCAGUGGGGAACAUUGGACAAUGGGCGAAAGCCUGAUCCAGCCAUGCCGCGUGUGUGAAGAAGGUCUUCGGAUUGUAAAGCACUUUAAGUUGGGAGGAAGGGCAGUAAGUUAAUACCUGGCUGUUUUGACGGUACCAACAGAAUAAGCACCGGCUAACUUCGUG